UACGAAGGGGGCUAGCGUUGUUCGGAAUCGCUGGGCGUAAAGGGCGCGUAGGCGGCCGAUCAAGUCGGGGGUGAAAGCCUGUGGCUCAACCACAGAAUUGCCUUCGAUACUGUUUGGCUUGAGACCGGAAGAGGUAAGUGGAACUGCGAGUGUAGAAGUGAAAUUCGUAGAUAUUCGCAAGAACACCAGUGGCGAAGGCGGCUUACUGGUCCGGUUCUGACGCUGAGGCGCGAAAGCGUGGGGAGCAAACAGG
rnacentral:rRNA from 1 species